GGGCGCAUGGUUUAGUGGUAUAACACUCCCUUAGCAUGUUUCCGACAGCUGGAUCAUUUCUGAUCGUAAAUAUGGGAGAGGUCUGGGGUUCGAUUCCCCAUGUGUCCA